AAAGGGCUUGGUCCUGACUUUACUGUCGGCUGUAGCUAAACUUACACAUGCAAGUAUCCGCACCCCCGUGAGAAUGCCCCAACAGUUUCCCGCCCGGAAACAAGGAGCCGGUAUCAGGCACAACCUUCACCAGCCCACGACACCUUGCUUAGCCACACCCUCAAGGGACUUCAGCAGUGAUAAACAUUAAGCUAUGAGUGAAAACUCGACUUAGUCAAAGCUCAGAGGGCCGGUAAAACUCGUGCCAGCCACCGCGGUUAUACGAGAGGCCCAAGUUGACAGACAGCGGCGUAAAGAGUGGUUAGGGAAAUUUUUAAACUAAAGCCGAACGUCCUCAAAGCUGUUUAACGCUUACGAGUUAAGAAGCCCCAUUACGAAAGUAGCUUUAUCUAACCUGACCCCACGAAAGCUGAGAAACAAACUGGGAUUAGAUACCCCACUAUGCUCAGCCCUAAACUUUGAUAGGUCACUACGCCCCCUAUCCGCCCGGGUACUACGAGCAUUAGCUUGAAACCCAAAGGACUUGGCGGUGCUUCAUAUCCGUCUAGAGGAGCCUGUU
rnacentral:rRNA from 1 species